CCACAUGUUGCGCCAUCUCUCCUGUCCUGUGUGGACUUUAUCGACCUAAAGGUAAAGCUUCAGUGUAACUCAAUGCGGGAGCGUGAAACAAGCGGAUAAUAAAGGUGACGCCGUGCUGUGGCUCACAGUCUGAGGACGGAGAAUCACAGUUUUUACUGAGGGUGCUUUUAGGAUGAUCAGAGAGGGACGGAUUAGAGACAAAUCGGGGACGAAAUGGACACCAAACAGAUCGGCAGCUUAAUCAGAGAAUUUGGAGCCAUUUGGAGAGAGCCUCCAUGCCGCCCAGGAAGCCACUGCGGAGAGUCUUGUGCCAACAGGAGCAUAUGGUGACAUUGGUUUAGGGACAGAGUUAUAAAACAGCAGGAAAUUCUAUUAGCUGCCUUGGAGGUCCAGCCUUUGUGGCUGCUUUGAACAUAUAUUUCUGCAUAACAAGCAGGAGUUUAUGAGGGCAAAUUGAGUUUGGGAAUUUGAACAGAGGCACGCACCGUUUUUAAUGAAAGUGCAGGUGAAAAACUGGGCUGGUCCGGGUACAGUAACUGUCGCGAGGGUUUGGAUUUACCCUCAAUUUAAAGACCAAAAUGAGAAGUUACAGUUUAAGAAUGUAAAGGCAGUUUCAAUAUUUUCAAAAUAAUAUUUAU